CGGUGUCGUAACAAAUGCACGUAUGGCCAGCACAGCUUCUUCUCGUCUGUUAUCAUAAUCGUUGUUGCUAGCUUAUGUUUACGUUUACGUUUACGUUUACAAGCUUCAAGCUUGUACGGUCCAGACGAGCCAAAUGGCUCAUGAACCGCCAAACUGGAAUCAAGAACUCAAAAAAGAAAAAUGCCAAUACCCAACAGUAACAGAUUGAUUAAUCUUCAACGUACUGCAACCUGCAUCUUACGUACUGCAACGUACUGCAACGUACUGCAACCUUGCAUCUAGCUUAUGUAAAGUAGAUGUAAAGGCAGGGUAAAUGGUUAUGGGCCCCCGCCUGCUACUUCCGUAUUAUUUUUUAAUAGUUUGCUUUACGUCGCACGGACAUAGAAGGACUUUUGCACAUGCUAUUCAACGAUUCGUUGGACGUGCUUCCGGUCUGUGAUGUUAAUGCCACGUUUCAAUAUUCGCUGGUAAAGUACUUGUUACGUACAUUUCGGCUGGCUAUUAAGUGUGUGCUGUCUGUCCAAUUUGGACGCACAGCGUCCUGGCGGCGUAGAAGUUAUGUUUUGGUAUAUUUUGCGGGAUGUUGAGAUUUUGCCCGGGUGCGUAUGCUUGGUGGUAUUGUCACUUACGGCACAGUUUGUUUGGAUGGUCGCACCAGCAUAUUCGUUCAAGUGUGCUGCAGCAGACGCUUGAGUUGUUGUCGAAAGUCACAUGUCAUUUCCUGUUACAGGUAAUGCGAGAUUCACAGGUCAAAGGAGACCGUCAAGGAAAUGGACCUCCCCCUAUAAGAAGACCAGCAAGGACAAGUCAUGAACGCGGACCUAAACGGAAGCAGACUAACAUCAACGUUGAGCUACAGCAAAUAGACCAGAGGGCGUGGGACUGAAGACGAAGCCCUUGUGUGGCGACAUAACACGUGCAGGCUGGCUGGCGAACAGACCAUGCGAAGAACAACAAGAAAAACUGAUCCAUUUCAUCUAUGCAAGACAUAACGGCCAUUAGAACAGGGACCAGUGUGAAGCUUUGACCUAUAGCUAAACAGUUCCACAACCGCAACCUACCGCAACUAGCCCACCUUCGUCCGAGCAAAUAAUCAUUAAAUUCACGCGUAGUUCAUAGGCACUUAAUUCAGUGUAACUUGCGAUUAGCAUUGCAGCGGCGUAGCAGCCUGACGCCGUCAUACGUUUGCCGAUGCGGAAGCACCACCAGCACCAUCUUGGGAUGGACCGCCACCCUUGUCAUGUAGGUUGUCGUCGUAGUGGUUGAUUUUACCAUUUGCCUUGUUGCCUCUGUUGUUGCGCUUCGAUAUGAGCGCGGCGAUGAGUGUAGAGGCUUGCGCCAGCGUCAUGAUGUCCAGAUGCUCGUCUGUGAUUUGUUGACCUGCUUGAUUUGUGAGUUUCUAGAGUAGGUCCUUCUGUGAUAGCGUCGCAGCCUGUGCUUUGACGGAGUUCUGUGUAAUGAGUGCCGACGCAUCCCUCCUGGAUAGAAGUUGCUGCGGUAGGUGUACGUUGAGCCUUUGCAACCGAGCAAGCUGUGCUGCUGUGGCCUGUUCUCCUGACGCAUGGGUGUCCAUGAGCUUGCUGGCCUGGCUUUUAGUAAGCUUGUCAAUUUCGUCCAUGGAUAAUCCUCGUGAGUGGAGAGCUGCACGUUGCCUGCCUGAUGCAGGUUUUUCAUUGUAUUUUUCUUGAAGUCUUCAUAGUCUGCUGUCCUGCUGCUUAGGAGUCUUGAGCAUUCUCCGAUUGUGGUAGGCCAGUCACAUGGCAUGAUUGACAUAUCAUUAAGGAAUGCUUCUUGUUUUGGGGUUCGUUCGCCGUCAGGGCGUCGUGUGGCGCGUGUUGUUAUGGUUGUGGGCGGAGUGUGAAAACCAAGGCCUUCGUACUGCUGGACGGAUAAACCCAUGGCUUGAGCCUGGGACUGAUGACUCGCAGCUGCUGUUAAAGUUGUGACGGUUGAUGACAUUGCAGGUGGGACGUGGGAUAGGUGUCUAAGGUCAUAGUAAUGCAAAGACUGUGACAGGCAGUAAGACAGUAGCAGGAACUACGUAAGCAGCCUAACAGUAAAAUGAAUCAUGGUGCUUAAGGGGGUACAUGUGCCUUGUACAUGUUUGGUGUCAAUUGGAUGUCGAUGGGGAGGAUAUGCAGCUGCUCAAUAUCCACAACUCGCAACAGUGCUACAUAUGCUUGCCCUAGUCAGUUCAUGUUUGUUAAGUCAAUAAUGACGGAAUCCGUUAUGGUAUCGCCCUGCACCUU
rnacentral:lncRNA from 1 species